GUAAGCAAUAGAAGUUGAGCUGCAAAGAAGACUGAGACCAGACCAGCUGCCCGGCAGAAGCAGAAACCAGUAGAACUGCCUGGGAGAGGUUUGGACCAACCGAGGCACCUGGAAAGGGCACUCUCUGCCCUGUUGAGGGGCCCCCAGGCUGUGCAGUGUGCUCCAGGUUCCCAGCUCUGUGAGUGGUCACCCAUGCUAAGGUCUCCGAAGACUGGAUUCCUCAUCUGCUUUCUUUCCUCCCACCUUAAGAACAUCCACCAGCUGGAAACAAAGUGACCGUAUUUGCCUACCUUUGUCCAAGUGAGAAUGAUGUGUGCUGUGGGGAUUACAUGGGAAAUUCCUUGUUUCAGUGCAGUACAGGUCCCUCUUGUGUUGGUUAUGAAGAUUGUCUUGCUUCUGCUCCUUGAAGCAUGAAAACCAAUUCUGUGAAUUCAUCAGCAUUUCAGCCAGUGUUCUGCUUUUCCUUCAUACCAUCGUCACCAUCUCCACCACUACCACCAUCAUCACCAUGUCCUCCACCACUACCACCACCAUCACCUUCUCCACCACUACCACCACCAUCACCAUCUCCUCCACUACCACCAUCGUCACCACCUCCUCCACCACCCCUAUAAUCUUGCCAUCUGGAUAGUGUGAGCAUCUAAGGUGACUACUGUAGAGAGUCAGAAUGGAAAAACCAUAUUUUGACCAUGUGCCGGGCUAGCUCAGUUGAAGAGUGUCUGCCUAGCAUGCCCGAGGCCCUGGGCUCAGUCUCCCAAGCAUGGACACUGGUGUGGAGGCAGGGAGGUCAGACGUUCAGGUCAGCCUUAGCUACCUACUUAGCUGGAGACCCUGUUUCAAAAACAAACCAUUUGUCCAGACAGAUGUGACUUUGGUUUCGUCACUGCGUUUCCUCAGACAACUUACUCCUUUGUAUGCCAGGGUUUUGUUUUGUUUUUAUUUUUUUCCCUAGACAGGGUUUCUCUGUGUAGU